rnacentral:rRNA from 1 species
GACGAACGCUGGCGGCGUGCUUAACACAUGCAAGUCGAACGGAAAGGCCUGCUUUCCCUUGUGGAUUGCGGGUACUCGAGUGGCGAACGGGCGAGUAACACGUGAGUGAUCUGCCCCCAACUUUGGUAUAAGCCUGGGAAACUAGGUCUAAUUCCCGAUAGGACUGCAGGGUGGUGCCUGUGGUGGAGAACGAUUUUCUAGUGGUUGGGGAUGAGCUCGCGGCCUAUCAGCUUGUUGGUGGGGUAAUGGCCUACCAAGGCGGCGACUGGUAGCCGGCCUGAGAGGGUGGACGGCCACAGUGGGACUGAGAUACGGCCCAGACGCCUAGGGGAGGCAGCAGUGGGGAAUAAUGCACAAUGGGCGGAAGCCUGAUGCAGCGACGCCGCGUGGGGGAUGACGGCCUUCGGGUUGUAAACUCCUUUCGACCGCGAGGAAGCCACCUGGUUGGAAGGGUGGUGACGGUAGUGGUAGAAGAAGCACCGGCUAACUACGUG